GUGGCACACCUGUGAGGUGGGAUGGAUUAUCUCAGCAAAGCACAAGUGCUCACUAUCACACAUUUAGACUGAUUUGUGAACAAUGUUUGAGAGAAAUGGUAAUAUUGUGUAUCUGGAAUGAAUUUUAGAUCUUAAAGUCCAUCUCAUGAAAAAUCAGAGCAGAAACAAAGGUGUUGCGUGUAUAUUUUUGUUGAGUGUACAUAAAACAUGUGAAUGUGGAUCAAUGAACUCAAGUAGAACUUCCAAACAGGAUUUAUGUGCAACUGUCUUAUGAUCACUGUUCAUUUUCCAUCUGAUUUUUCUCACCACAUUGUCAUAGAUCAGCAAGAUUAUGGGCUAAACAAAACCUCCCCGUGUCAAAAAGGAGCGUAAACACUCCCCUCAUCCACUUCCCUGCAGCCAGAGAGGAACGUGCCUGCCUGCCUACAUGCAGUUCUGGAUUUGCAUGGCAAAUAUCCUCACAAUAAAACCUGCCCCACUGAUGGACUGCAAACAAACCCUGUGCCGUGCACAACACCGACGUCUCUCCUUUGUCUGUGGGUGCAGAGGAGGUCGAGUCAACAGCUUCUCAUCCCACUAACCUACCUACGGUGCAGCUCUGUGACCGUUUUGUUGGACCUGCUCCCCAGCGGAUGUGGUUUGGUUUCCAUGUGGUUUCCACAACGAUCAUUCAUCACUGAGUCCAAUCAGAACAUUCAUACCGGCUACGGCGCAGCGUGGAUUUGGAUGUGGAGCUCUGGAAAGCUUCUGCAUGGAUAGUCAUGAAGCUGAAGAAGUUAUCUGAGCCAGACAGGAAGUGAGACGUGUUUCAGCCAGGUGCAUCCAGUUUAUUUUAAAAUAAAACACAUGUUGUAUUAAAUUUGCCAGUUUUUGCUUUUUUUUUUUUUUUACAGGUCUACGUUUAAACGUAUUGUGUCAGUAUUUCUUAUCAUCAGGUGCUCUUGUGGGAGCAGAUUUCUGAACACAAACUGCAGUCAGUGCGAAAUCCAUGCGGCCUCGUGCCACAUUCUAUGUGAAACAGGUUUAAGAAGGAGGCAGAGCCAGGGACAACCGUCAAUCCUGCAGGAUCAGGCUGAAUAAGGUCUAAACAUUUUCUCUGCAUUAAUUUUUUUCAAUCUUUUAUUUUCAUUUAUUGACAUUAAAAUAAAAAUACAGAACUAAAUUGCUGCAAGCCAAAAUGAAAAAG